ensembl:lncRNA
UUCCCUAGUUUCCGUAGUCCCUAGCGAGGAGGCUCCUCUACAACAGAUCCUGCUGUUUAGUCAGGCACACGCAGCCAUGGAUUCAAGGUCUCGCCAAUGUUAUUACUCCUAGUGUGGUAGAGCGGCUUCCUUCAAAACCACGCAUGCAUUUGCAUGUGUGUGUCAGUGCGUGUGCGUGUGUGUGUUUGUUUUACAUGCACAGCAGCACCUGGAGCAACAAUGGCCCGGGGCAGCUGUGUGUCUGUGGUUCUGUACAGCAGGACACCAGCGCACCGGCACGGUGUUAUUAAGGUCCCAGCGAGCCCCGGCUAAUUCCACACGACUUACAGCCGGCCAACCCGGCGGCCCUUCUUCAACGACCGCCGGCGGCCCGGCAUCAGAGGACGGAUCCCUGACAGAUGGUGUCUUUGUGCCAGCAUCGGGGAGAGAAGUCCCCCCUCUUCGACCCAGUGAAACUUGAUCACUGAUGGAAGAAGAUAGCCCAGAUGAAUGCCCCAUGCUGGUUGUAGCAGCCAGCUGUAUGCUAACCUAGCCUACUGACCUAGCACACCACACAUGGCAUAGUUCUGCCAGAAUAUAUGGUUCCCAGGGCCUGUGGAGUAUGCUGGUCGUGGAAAAGGUAUCGAUGCCAACCGCCAUAGAGCUCAAUAGAAGAAGAGGAUCGGGCAAGGAUUAUUUCCCGCAGAAUGUCCAGUUUCCAGCAAUUCUUGGAGAAGGAGGAUAUUCUUUGCAAACAAAAGUCGCUCGAUUGAUGUUGUUAUCCAAUCAUAGGAAAAUAAGUGGUGCGUUAAGAUAAACCGUAGCGAACAUCAUCAGUGUAGUGUUUUGAUGGCUAUGCUCGCUUGUGACACUGACAGCCCCCCACGUCAGAUGGACGUAACCCUUUACAUGCCUCUCGCGGCAAUGUUAUGGAAUGUGUGUGUGUGUGUGUGUGUGUGUGUGUGUGUGUGUGUGUGUGUGUGCGUGUGUGUGUGCGUGUGCGUGAGAAUGUACGUAUAUUUAUAUGUGUAUAAAUGGGGGUGAGAGCGUGUGUGUGUGUGUGUGUGUGUGUGUGUGUGUGUGUGUGUGUAUCUAAAUGUCUGUGUUUAGUUUUCCAUGUUGUCACGGCGCAGAAGCCUGGGAGUAUCCAACGGGUCCGGGCCUGCAGCCUCAUGGGCUGCCAGUAAUCCCCCACAGGACUGAG